UACGUAGGGUGCGAGCGUUGUCCGGAAUUAUUGGGCGUAAAGAGCUUGUAGGCGGUUUGUCGCGUCUGCCGUGAAAUCCGGGCUCAACCCGGACUUGCGGUGGGUACGGGCAGACUAGAGUGUGGUAGGGGAGACUGGAAUUCCUGGUGUAGCGGUGAAAUGCGCAGAUAUCAGGAGGAACACCGAUGGCGAAGGCAGGUCUCUGGGCCGACUACUGACGCUGAGAAGCGAAAGCGUGGGGGGAGCGAACAGG
rnacentral:rRNA from 1 species